CGGAGGGAUCAUUAAAGAGUUCUAUAACUCCCAAACCCAUGUGAACAUACCUAACGUUGCCUCGGCAGGUCGCACCUACCUUGUAGCACCCUACCCUGUAGGGCCUACCCGGGAGGUGCGGGUAAGCCUGCCGGCGGCCCACCAAACUCUGUUUGAUAUUGAAUUCUGAACCUAUAACUAAAUAAGUUAAAACUUUCAACAACGGAUCUCUUGGUUCUGGCAUCGAUGAAGAACGCAGCGAAAUGCGAUAAGUAAUGUGAAUUGCAGAAUUCAGUGAAUCAUCGAAUCUUUGAACGCAUAUUGCGCCCAUUAGUAUUCUAGUGGGCAGGACCGUUCGAGCGUCAUUUCAACCCUUAAGCCUUCGUUGCUUAGUGUUGGGAGCCUACGGCAACGUAGCUCCUCAAAGUUAGUGGCGGAGUUGGUUCACACUCUAGACGUAGUAAUUUUUUAUCUCGCCUAUUAGUUGGACUAAUCCCCUGCCGUAAAACCCCCAAUUUAUCAAGGUUGACCUCGAAUCGGUUCAGACAAACUCGCUAAAUUGAAGCAUCUUAGUCAGCGAAGGAAAA
rnacentral:rRNA from 1 species